rnacentral:lncRNA from 1 species
AUCAGAUUAGGAGAAAGUCAUUACAAUCACGGAGGCUGGUGAUUUGCUGGGCUGGAAUGUUUACUUAAGUUGCUUGGCUCAUCAUUUCCUGCAGUGGCCGCAGAAUGAUGGGAUGUUAGCGGCUCAUCAUCUACAGCCACCACUAGACAGACUCCAAUGUGUCCCUUGUCAUAGCAGACAACAAACUGGAAGUGACUCCCUGCUUACAUUGUGCAUCUUCAUGUAGGCAUGUGUGAUGUCACCAACUCAGUUCCCAAGAGCCAGGCAGAUAACAUACACGUGUGAAGUCAGCUGGAUAGAAGGCAAAUUGGAGGCUGAAAAGGAUGAAGCUGAACUGGAGGGUUCAUACUCAGCCUAAGGUAACUCGACGUUGCAGUGAUGCGUGACCACACAGAGCAGCGGAGGCUGGAGCCAGCUCACGGGCUACAGAUACAUUUCUCGGGAGGAAUUGACAAUUACUCCCAAAGCUGAAAACUAAUCUGGAGCACAGGCGGUCGGGCUGCUGAGGAACUCAGAAGCAGAGCAGGAGAAACAGUCGCGUAUCAGUCCGAGGGAACCGGCUGUGGACCACAGGGGAAAGGCAGCUUCGCGUGAGAGCAGGAAGAGAGAGCACAUCCGGGUUAGCAGGGUCGGGAGACCAGGACUUGUGGGCAAACUGCAGUGUGUCUUUCUUUUCUUCUAAGUUCCUGACCAGCGGAAUCAUUGAUUUAAGACUCAUUGUUUUAAAACUGUUUAAUGGGAUUAUUAGAUCUUGCUUUGAAACCUGCAUAUCCCUCAUUUCUUUUCCCUUACGAUGACACAUUUGAGACACAAGGAGAGUUAUCGAUGAGAUGAUGGACCCGUUAUCACGUGCUUCUGUCACAUUUAGCUGUUUGUAGACUAUUUCAUUCUAAAAUGACUUUAGGCCUGUGUCUUAGUCAGGGUUUCUAUUCCUGCACAAACAUCAUGACCAAGAAGCAAGUUGGGGAGGAAAGGGUUUAUUCCACUUACAUUUCCACACUGCUGUUCAUCACCAAAGGAAGUCAGGACUGGAACUCAAGCAGGUCAGGAAGCAGGAGCUGAUGCAGGGGCCAUGGAGGGAUGUUCUUUACUGGCUUGCUUCCCCUGGCUUGCUCAGCCUGCUCUCUUAUAGAACCCAUAGAGAUGGUCCCACCCACAAGGGACCUUUCCCACUUGAUCACUAAUUGAGAAAAUGCCCCACAGCUGGAUCUCAUGGAGGUAUUUCCCCAACUGAAGCUCCUUUCUCUGUGAUAACUCUAUCUUGUGUCAAGUUGACACACAAAACCAGCUAGUACAACUUGAAAGCCAAAUAAUAACAUCUUACAUAGCCAUAGUACUGCUGUCAAAGUCAGGAAAUUAACUUGAAAUUCCUCUCCUGACUCAGCCUCCCCAGGGCUGGGACUGAACCUGUGUCACCACCACAUCCAGCAAUACUCUCGAAGAACAUAGUAGCCUUAUACAAAUGCCACCAACUGUCCUCUUUUUUUCCUGGUCCAGCUUCCUGUGUUGCCUUUGGGACAGUUCCUUAAUCUUCAUUGAUUUUUAAUCACAGGGUAUUUGUGGGAAAAACACUGAGACUUAAUUUCAUGAACUGUGUCUCAGUUUGGAUUUGCCUGGUGUUUUUCUUUGUUUAAAUUCAGGUCUUGCUUUGUUUUUUGUUUUUUGUUUGUUUUUGAGACAGGGUUUCUCUAUGUAGUCCUGGCUGUCCUGGAACUCACUUUGUAGACCAGGCUGGCCUCGAACUCAGAAAUUCACCCUGCCUCUGCCUCCCGAAUGCUGGGAUUAAAGGUGUGCACCACCACCGCCCAGCAGGUCUUGCAUUUUAGCAACACCACAGAGGUGCUCUGUGUGCAUGCGUCCAUCUCAGUAAGUACCCACCGUGGACCUGGCACCUUACUGGGCAGAGGGUGGUCCAUUCUGGAUCACUUUCAUUCCUUGGCUACCGAGAUGAUUUCCAGGUUUUUCUACCAGGAAGUUAUUAAUCUACUGUUUGUCAUUAGUAGUUGUUAAGGAGUGCUCAUGUGGAAAUAUUUUCCAGGAUGCAGAUAUCCUAUUUGUAAGCUGUAUAGUUGUAUCUUCACUAUUAGCAUCAUUGUUAGUUCACACCUGCCACGAUAGUAAUUGCCCUGUCAAUCAGAAAUUCAAGGUCAUUCUAGGAUACAUAGUCUGGGAUACAGGAUACAGGAGACUCUGUCCCCUCCCCCUGGCCCCCACAAAAAAAGUCUUUGUAGAAAGGUAGAGAGACCCUGCCUCAAACA